AAAGACGUGAUAAGCUGCGAUAAGCUUCGGGGAGUGGCACAUACAUUUUGAUCCGAAGAUUUCUGAAUGAGGAAACUCACUUGGAGUAAUGUCCAAGUAUCCAUAGGUAAAUACAUAGCCUAUGGAGGGGAACUCAGGGAACUGAAACAUCUAAGUACCUGAAGGAAGAGAAAGAAAUUCGAUUCCGCUAGUAGCGGCGAGCGAACGCGGAAGAGCCCAAACCGGAGUGCGUGCACUCCGGGGUUCGGACUGCAGGAUUGACGAGUGAGCCUAGUAGAAUGGUUUUGGGAAAGCCAGCCAGAGAGGGUGAAAGCCCCGUACGCGAAAGGCAAGCGAGCAUGGCAGGAUCCAGAGUACCACGAGACACGUGAAACCUUGUGGGAAGCAGGGGGGACCACCCUCCAAGCCAAAAUACUGAUAUCGACCGAUAGCGCAUAGUACCGUGAGGGAAAGGUGAAAAGAACCCCUGGAGGGGAGUGAAAUAGAACCUGAAAUUGUGUGCUUACAAGCGGUCAGAGCCAGUAAUGGUGAUGGCGUGCCUUUUGGAGAAUGAUCCUGCGAGUUACGUUAAACGGCGAGGUUAAGUAUAACGGAGCCGAAGGGAAACCAAGUCUUAAUAGGGCGAUUUAGUCGUUUGGCGUAGACGCGAAACCUGGUGAUCUAAACCUGUCCAGGAUGAAGCUGUGGUAAGACACAGUGGAGGUCCUAACCCACCGCCGUUGAAAAGUUGGGGGAUGAGGUAGGUUUAGGGGUGAAAAGCCAAUCGAACCAGGAGAUAGCUCGUUCUCUCCGAAAUGCAUCUAGGUGCAGCCUUGAGUGUUCAAUUAUGGGGGUAGAGCACUGAAUGAUCUAGGGGGCAUAUUGCUUACUGAAAUCAAUCAAACUCCGAAUACCAUAAUUUAUAGCUCAGGAGUGAGACUAUGGGAGUUAACUUCCAUUGUCAAAAGGGAAACAACCCAGACCACCAGCUAAGGUCCCUAAUUAUAACUAAGUGGGAAAGGAGGUGGAGAUUCACAAACAACUAGGAGGUUGGCUUAGAAGCAGCCAUACAUUAAAAGAGUGCGUAAUAGCUCACUGGUCGAGAGGUCCUGCGCCGAAAAUGUCCGGGGCUGAAACACACUACCGAAGCCGUGGAAUCAACGAAUGUUGAUUGGUAGAGGAGCAUUCUUAAAGAGAAGAAGCUGUACUGUAAAGAGCAGUGGAUUUUUAAGAAGAGAGAAUGCCGGAAUGAGUAGCGAGAGGAAGGUGAGAAUCCUUCCGGCCGAAUAUCUAAGGUUUCCAGAGUAAAGCUGAUCUGCUCUGGGUAAGUCGGGGCCUAAGGCGAGGUCGAAAGACGUAGUCGAUGGAUAACAGGUAAAGAUUCCUGUACUAUAUCAUAACAGAACUGUGGGGACGCAGACAGAGAGCAUAAGCCGGGAGUGGAAAAACCGGUACAAGCGAGGUAGGAGUGCAUCAGGCAAAUCCGGUGCACAAUCUGAAGACGUGAUGUGGGGCGUAAAGCCGGAAGUAUGUGAGCUGGCUGCCAAGAAAAGCCGCUAUUGUUUAUGAUAUACCCGUACCGUAAACCGACACAGGUGGAUGAGGAGAGAAUCCUAAGGCCGGCGGGAGAAGCAUUGUUAAGGAACUCGGCAAAAUGACUCCGUAACUUCGGGAGAAGGAGUGCCAUGUAAAAGUGGCCGCAGAGAAUUGGCCCAAGCAACUGUUUAGCAAAAACACAGGUCUAUGCAAAACCGUAAGGUGAGGUAUAUGGGCUGACGCCUGCCCGGUGCUGGAAGGUUACGAGGAGAGGUUAGCGCAAGCGAAGCUUUGAAUCUAAGCCCCAGUAAACGGCGGCCGUAACUAUAACGGUCCUAAGGUAGCGAAAUUCCUUGUCGGGUAAGUUCCGACCCGCACGAAAGGCGUAAUGAUUUGGGCACUGUCUCGACAAUGCACCCGGUGAAAUUGAAAUACCAGUGAAGAUGCUGGUUACCUGCGCCAGGACGGAAAGACCCCAUGGAGCUUUACUCCAGCUUGAUACUGGGAUUCGAUAUUGCAUGUACAGGAUAGGUGGGAGACUAGGAAGCGGUGACGCCAGUUGCCGCAGAGUCGCUGUUGGGAUACCACCCUUGCAGUAUUGGAUUUCUAACCAGCAGCCGUGAACCGGCUGGGGGACAAUGUCAGGUGGGGAGUUUGACUGGGGCGGUCGCCUCCGAAAGGGUAUCGGAGGCGCUCAAAGGUUCCCUCAGAAUGGUUGGAAACCAUUCGAAGAGUGCAAAGGCAGAAGGGAGCUUGACUGCGACACCGACGGGUGGAGCAGGUACGAAAGUAGGACUUAGUGAUCCGGUGGUAUGAAAGUGGGAUUGCCAUCGCUCAACGGAUAAAAGCUACCCUGGGGAUAACAGGCUUAUCACUCCCAAGAGUUCACAUCGACGGAGUGGUUUGGCACCUCGAUGUCGGCUCAUCGCAUCCUGGGGCUGUAGCAGGUCCCAAGGGUUGGGCUGUUCGCCCAUUAAAGCGGUACGCGAGCUGGGUUCAGAACGUCGUGAGACAGUUCGGUCCCUAUCUGUCGUGGGCGCAGGAUAUUUGAUGGGAGCUGUCCCUAGUACGAGAGGACCGGGACGGACGUACCUCUGGCGCACCAGUUGUUCCGCCAGGAGCAUAGCUGGGCAACUACGUACGGAUCGGAUAAACGCUGAAAGCAUCUAAGCGUGAAGCCGACCCAAAGAUAAGAUAUCCCACUGAUUUGAUCAGGUAAGACCCCUUGA
rnacentral:rRNA from 1 species